CUCAGAAUAAGAAUGGAGAAGCAUCUGAGUACCUCCCUUGGGGUUUUGUGGCUUUAUAUUUGUUGUGUGCAUGGCAAACCUGCAGUGGAGCAGAGUCCCCAGUCCUUGACUGUGCUCCAGGGAGAGAACUGCAGUCUUCAGUGCGAUUACACUGUGAGCCCCUGUAACAACGUACGGUGGUAUAGACAGGACCCAGGGAGAGGUCCUGUUUCCAUGAUGAUCAUCACCUCCACCGAGAACAAGACGUCGGACGGAAGGUACAAGGAAUAAUGAAGAAAACAGAAAUACAGAUGCCA